rnacentral:sRNA from 1 species
CAGUUUCUAUUUGUUGUGGGCAGAUAAAGUGAAUAUGGCUAUCUAUUCCCCCCGCAGUUAAAAUCAUUCCUUCGCCAGCAACAACUUCAGUACCAGCGCCGAUAAUAAUAUCUACGUUGUCUUGAAUAUAAGGAUUUCCUGCUUUACCAAUUUUAUAAAUAUGCCCAUCUUUAAUACCAAUAUCUGCUUUAACAAUUCCCCACCAAUCGAGAAUUAAAGCAUUAGUAAUUACUAAAUCUACUGCACCAUCAGCAUUAGAAAUAGGAGAUUGUCCCAUCCCGUCUCUA